GACAGAGGGGGCGAGCGUUAUCCGGAGUGAUUGGGCGUAAAGGGUACGUAGGCGGCUGGGCAAGUCUGGGGUUACAGACCACAGCUUAACUGUGGGGGGGCCUUAGAAACUGACCGGAUGGAGUGGGGCAGGGGUUGCGUGAAUUCACGGUGUAACGGCGAAAUGCGUAGAUAUCGGGAAGAACACCUGAGGCGAAAGCGCGCAACUGGGCCCUAACUGACGCUGAGGUACGAAAGCUAGGGGAGCGAAUGGU
rnacentral:rRNA from 1 species